UACGGAGGAUGCGAGCGUUAUCCGGAUUUAUUGGGUUUAAAGGGUGCGUAGGCUGUUUGUCAAGUCAGGGGUGAAAUACCUGGGCUCAACCGAGGAAUUGCCUUUGAUACUGGCAGGCUUGAAUACUGUUGCCGUGGGAGGAAUGAGUAGUGUAGCGGUGAAAUGCAUAGAUAUUACUCAGAACACCGAUUGCGAAGGCAUCUCACGAAACAGCGAUUGACGCUGAGGCACGAAAGCGUGGGGAU
rnacentral:rRNA from 1 species